GACGAACGCUGGCGGCGUGCUUAACACAUGCAAGUCGAACGGAAAGGCCCCUUUGGGGGUACUCGAGUGGCGAACGGGUGAGUAACACGUGAGUAACCUGCCCUUGACUUCGGGAUAACUUCAGGAAACUGGGGCUAAUACCGGAUAGGAAUCCUUGCUGCAUGGUGGGGGUUGGAAAGCUUCGGCGGUUUUGGAUGGACUCGCGGCUUAUCAGCUUGUUGGUGGGGUAGUGGAUUACCAAGCCGUUGACGGGUAGCAGGCCUGAGAGGGCGACCGGCCACAUUGGGACUGAGAGACGGCCCAGACACCUACGGGAGGCAGCAGGGGGGAAUAUUGAACAAGGGGCGGAAGCCUGAUGCAGCAGCGCCGCGUGCGGGAUGACGGCCUUCGGGUUGUAGACCGCUUUCAGCAGGGGCGAAGCUUGUGGUGACGGUACCUGCAGAAGAAGCACCGGCUAACUACGUG
rnacentral:rRNA from 1 species